rnacentral:rRNA from 14 species
GUCUAUGGCCAUACCACUCUGCAUGUGUCCAAUUUUCACUGAAACUUAGAAGUUAAGUAGGGUUGGGAUUGGUUAAUAUUUGGAUCGGAGAAAGUAAUUUUAAAUU